CGGGGUGCAGCAGGCGCGAAAACUUUACAAUGCCGGCAACGGCGAUAAGGGAACCUCGAGUGCCAGGUUAUAAAUCUGGCUGUCGUGAUGCCUAAAAAGCAUUGCAUAGCAAGGGCCGGGCAAGACCGGUGCCAGCCGCCGCGGUAACACCGGCGGCUCGAGUGGUAACCGUUAUUAUUGGGUCUAAAGGGUCUGUAGCCGGCCGGAUAAGUCUCUUGGGAAAUCCAGCAGCUCAACUGUUGGGCUUCCAGGAGAUACUGUCUGGCUCGAGGCCGGGAGAGGUGAGAGGUACUUCAGGGGUAGGGGUGAAAUCUUGUAAUCCUUGAAGGACCACCAGUGGCGAAGGCGUCUCACCAGAACGGACCUGACGGCAAGGGACGAAAGCUAGGGGCACGAACCGGAUUAGAUACCCGGGUAGUCCUAGCCGUAAACGAUACUCGCUAGGUGUCGGCCACGGUGCGACCGUGGUCGGUGCCGUAGGGAAGCCGUGAAGCGAGCCACCUGGGAAGUACGGCCGCAAGGCUGAAACUUAAAGGAAUUGGCGGGGGAGCACAAGGGCGAAUCGCG
rnacentral:rRNA from 1 species